GCAGAUGAAUUUUGAAGUGAGAGUUUUGAGGUCCUGUCAGGAGUGUGUGCAGGAGCCAGGCCCUGUGACUGGUAGGGCCUCGCAGGACUGGGGCCUUCCUGGGUUUAGCCUGGAAGGGCAAGGCGCGGCUGCACAGGUGAGGCUUGACGGAAGACUCAUAGCACCUGGUGGCAAGGGCCGGGAGGGGUAUAUAAGACCAACAUUUCCCUCUGGCUCUUUGCCACAGCAACACACUACCCACCUAGCUGUGCUUCGGCUUCCUGACUCCUGGUAUCCUGACGCUUGGACCCUUGGCUUCCUGACUCCUGGUUUCCUGAUUUGCGGACUCUUGGCUUCCUGACCCCUGGACUGCUGACCCUGGACGGCUGAUUCCUGAUUCCCAACCUCUACCCUGGUCCCGACGUACCAAGCUGGGACUCCGACUGCCUAUAACCCAGACCGUGACAGGUCCCUGGUCAGACCCAACAUCUAAGGAAGUGAAAAGUUUUGAUGAAACUAGAAUAAUUUCUUACGGAGUGUCAGGUGUUCUGAGGCUGCCACCAAAUACCAUCAAAAGGAAAUGUUGAAGCAAACUUGGAGGGCUGCAUUGUCGGAACUUCUGCCAUUUCAAGGGAAGCGAAUAGAGUUUUGAUAAGACUAGGAAAAUUCAUCUGGAGGCUUUCCUGUAUCCCUGCUCUGAAAUAUGACUGAUAGCUAAAGUGGAAGAAAUGAAACUUGAAGCUUUUGAAAUGUGCUGUUGGAGAAGAACAUGUAAAGUGACUUGGACAGAGAGGGAAUCAAUACAGAAAUAUUGAAUUGUGCUGGAGAGGACAAGCAGUAAGGCUAAGUGUGAAAAAAGACAAUCAGGUGCAACAGGGCACAUUAGGAAAUGGUUAACUAGUUCAAGAUAUAGUUGAUGGGAAAACAGAAGGAAGAGGAGCAGCAGGAAUAUAAGCUAAGAGCAAAGAGGGUGGUAUACAUGUUUGCACACAGGUGGCAAGGAUGCUAGUGUGCACUGGAAUAUUUAAUGGCUCCACAAAGACCAGCGUGAGAAAUGAUUUACUGGAGAGAGUUUCCAGGAAAAUAAGGAUUGUCCUGGGCAAAUAUAGCUGGACUAUAUGCAUGGAACUUUCUUUUGAUUUAGUAUCCCCAGCUCGCCAGCAAAAGGAACUGCAAAGCUGAAGUCAAUCUCCCUUUCUGUCCCUUCUCCCAAGCCCAGAAGAAAACAUUGUAAAUAACUCUCUAAAUUCCUUAGACCGGGGAAAAAGCUUUCCUGCAUUAACCUUUGAAACACGGUGUUUCUACUUUGCCUUCCCUAAUCUAUGGCUCUUACAGUGGAGCCACAGCUCUGAUGUAGUCAUCCAUCUUCGGGUCAACACUCUCUUGCUUUUCCAUACAAAAAAAAGUAGCAAAUCAAAAAUUAGAAUUCUGAGUCGUCCUUGUACAGGACUCAGAAUGCUACCCUAGAUCCUGACACAACUUAGUAUCUUGCAUACCCUGCCUAGGAUUAUAUGUCGGCAAGCGCCAAUUUCUUAUUAGAAGAAUUUGGAAUCACCUGUUCUUCUGCUGGAUCAACUUGUAAAGCAUAGUUUUAGCAAAAAAAACAAACAGGAGGAUCUGAUAAGCCAAUGAAUAUAAUAGUCAGCCUGAGAAAUAUUUUUGCUAUUGAGCCCACAUUCCUAUUUUAAACAUCUCAGGCUAGUGGUUUCUCUCUCACCUCAGAUGGGACCAUUGGCGGUAAGGUCAUUCCUUGUAUUUUAAAUUUUAUUAAAAGUGUCUCAAAGUC